UAAUUGAUGAAAUCACUAUUAGGUGGGCUACAAACAACAGGCAAAAAAAGAGGCCUGGUAGAUUCCGAUUACCGGGCCUUGGGAAAUGGCUCUGGCAGAGCCGUGCGCUAAAAAUUGCCAUUGAGACGUAACAAAGUACAAUUUAAUACUAGCUUGCUAAACGCACUCUUACCAUACUAAUUAUCAAUUAUUUUACAUAUUAUUAACACAAUUUAUUUCUUAAUAUUCCAAUAUCGAGCUAUUUGAUUGA
rnacentral:misc_RNA from 1 species